AACGAACGCUGGCGGCAUGCCUAACACAUGCAAGUCGAACGCUUCUCUUCGGAGAGGAGUGGCGCACGGGUGAGUAACGCGUGGGAACCUGCCCCGGAGUGGGGGAUAACCCGGCGAAAGCCGGGCUAAUACCGCAUACGGCCUAUGGGCGAAAGAUUUAUCGCUCUGGGAGGGGCCCGCGUCCGAUUAGCUAGUUGGUGGGGUAACGGCCCACCAAGGCGACGAUCGGUAGCUGGUCUGAGAGGAUGAUCAGCCACACUGGGACUGAGACACGACUCAGACUCCUACGGGAGGCAGCAGUGGGGAAUAUUGGACAAUGGGGGCAACCCUGAUCCAGCAAUGCCGCGUGGGUGAUGAAGGCCUUAGGGUUGUAAAGCUCUUUCGCACGCGACGAUGAUGACGGUAGCGUGAGAAGAAGCCCCGGCUAACUUCGUGCCAGCCGCCGCGGUAA
rnacentral:rRNA from 1 species